AGAUGAGGGUGAUGUUAUCAGUCACCCCAUGCGUAACCAGGGUCACUCAGCUGAUCUGGCCAACCAGGCAGGUGCCUUUCCCCUUGGGCGGUACUCCAUGUGCAUUCUUCCUGAAGCCCUGUGCUCAGUGGGAGAGGGAGUCCCCCAAUAAAGGAGGGCCAUUCUUCAGGCAAGGAUACACAAGUAGUUGUGUCCCCUGCUAUAAACUCAAAUGAGUUCUCAAGAUCUACCAGGAGAUAGCCAGGUGCCAGUGGCUCACACCUGUAAUCCUAGUUACUGAGGUGGCUGACAUCUGAGGAU
ensembl:misc_RNA 7SK 7SK RNA